rnacentral:misc_RNA from 1 species
UCCCGGUUAGCCCGGGCAGUCUCGUCUGAUAUAUACAACAGACGACAGGGGUUGCGCUCGUUGAUGGACUUAACCAAACAUCUCACGACACGAGCUGACAACGGCCAUGCAGCACCUGUCACUAGGCUCCCGAAGGCACCCCUCUGUUUCCAGUGGGUUCCUAGGAUGUCAAGCCUCGGUAAGGUUCUCCGCGUAGCGUCAAAUUAAACCACAUCAUCCACCGCUUGUGCGGGUCCCCGUCAAUUCCUUUGAGUUUUAAUCUUGCGAUCGUACUCCCCAGGCGGCAUACUUAUCGCGUUAGCUUCUUAGCACAGGGGGUCGAUACCCCAUACUAAUAGUAUGCAUCGUUUACGGCGUGGACUAC